rnacentral:rRNA from 1 species
CAAUAGCAUAUAUUAACGUUGUUGCAGUUGAAAAGCUCGUAGUUGAACUUUUGGUAGGAGCGACCUGGCCUUGGGCGCAUACCCUUGUUUGCCGUGUGUCGUAUCUGGCCAUCCUUUUCCGUUUCGGCGGGAAUCUUUUACUGUGAGUAAACUGGAGUGCUCAAAACAAGACGUUUGUUUGGUACAUUAAAGCAUGGAAUAAUAAGAUAGGACCUGGUUACUAUUUUGUUGGUUUGCAUAGCUAGGUAAUGAUUAACAGGGACAGUUGGGGGUAUUCGUAUUUAAUUGUCAGAGGUGAAAUUCUUGGAUUUAUGAAAGACGAACGACUGCGAAAGCAUUUACCAAGGAUGUUUUCAUUAA